GCCUAGUUAGUUUAGUUGGUACUUAGUGCGUCUGCCUUGUAAGCGCUAGGCUGCGGGUUCGAUUCCCGCCCGGGGCG
rnacentral:tRNA from 1 species